rnacentral:misc_RNA from 1 species
CAAGAACAAACGAAAUUCCCUCCUCUCUCUCAGCCUGGUCAAAAAGAACAAUUUUUUAUUUUUCAAGUUCUGCACUUUUUCGUUGAAAAUCGAAGCGAGUCUUAUUUGAUUUGGAGUUUCAAGGUUCUUUCAAUAGCUCUUUUUCCUUGUCGAGAUAGGAGAUCCUCUUAGUAUAUCCUUUUCUUUCUUUUGGUGCAACACUUAGCCAUGGCUUGUUCAUUGAAUUGCACUUUCAGUAUCUCUAGGUUGAAUGUGACUAUUCUGAGCUCAAAAACACUAGAUGCUUCUGGGUUUUCUCCAUCUGUGGGUGCUAUAGGAAUUGGAGAAUCGAAAACCAAGGAUUCCCCUGUUUUGAGAAUCGAUUUCAUGGGCAAACCACUUGUUUUCCCAGAUCAAAUGGAUUCUAAAGAUUCGAUUACCAAAGCGCAAAGCAAUUUCUUUGUUCGUGCACAAGCUUCGAUCCGUGUGAGCAGAGCUCUCAGAUGGUGGGAGAAUACCCAUAAACCCAAUAUGCGAGAGAUCCAUUCCGCUCAAGAGCUUGUAUACUCCUUGCUUAAUGCUGGUGAUAAAUUGGUGAUUGUUGACUUCUAUUCUCCUGGUUGUGGAGGCUGCAAAGCCCUCCAUCCCAAGAUUUGUCAGCUGGCUGAAUCAAACCCCAACGCAGUUUUUCUAAAAGUAAACUAUG